UAGCCGUAAACGAUACUCGCUAGGUGUCGGCCACGGUGCGACCGUUGUCGGUGCCGUAGGGAAGCCGUGAAGCGAGCCACCUGGGAAGUACGGCCGCAAGGCUGAAACUCAAAGGAAUUGGCGGGGGAGCACCACAACGGGUGGAGCCUGCGGUUUAAUCGGACUCAACGCCGGGAAUCUCACCGGGGACGACAGCAAUAUGUAGGCCAGGCUGAAGACCUUGCCUGAAUCGCUGAGAGGAGGUGCAUGGCGUAGACGUCU
rnacentral:rRNA from 1 species